rnacentral:rRNA from 1 species
AAUCAACGCUGGCGGCGUGCCUAACACAUGCAAGUCGAACGGGAAAACGGGGGCAACUCCGUGAGUAUAGUGGCGUACGGGUGAGUAACACGUGACUACCUACCUUUGAGUGGGGGAGUAACCCCGGGAAACCGGGGACGUAAUACCGCAUAACAUCGCAAGAUCAAAGAAGCAAUUCGCUUAAAGAAGGGGGUCGGCGGCUGAUUAGCUAGUUGGUAGGGUAAUGGCCUACCAAGGCGAUGAUCGGUAGCCGGCCUGAGAGGGCGCACGGCCACACUGGAACUGAAACACGGUCCAGACUCCUACGGGAGGCAGCAGUGGGGAAGUUUUGUCGCAAUGGGGGAAACCCUGACGCAGCAACGCCGCGUGGAGGA